ACACUGAUGGUGAAACGGUAUCAUGCUUGCCUUCCACCAAGCACGGUAGCAAGCGGCGCGGGUUCGACUCCCGCUCAGUGUA